GUCGGGAUAGCUCAGUUGGUAGAGCAGAGGACUAAAAAUCCUCGUGCCAUCAGUUCAAAUUUGGUUCCUGACA
rnacentral:tRNA from 1 species